rnacentral:rRNA from 1 species
CACGUAGGGGCCAAGCGUUGUCCGGAUUUAUUGGGCGUAAAGAGCUCGUAGGCGGCUCGGUAAGUCGGGUGUGAAACCUCCAGGCUCAACCUCGAGACGCCGGCGGAAACCAUCAGGCUAGAGUCCGGAAGAGGAGAGUGGAAUUCCUGGUGUAGCGGUGAAAUGCGCAGAUAUCAGGAAGAACACCCGUGGCUAAGGCGGCUCUCUAGUACGGUACUGACGCUGAGACGCGAAAGCGUGGGGAGCGAACAGG